UACGAGGGGGGCGAGCGUUGUUCGGAAUUAUUGGGCGUAAAGGGUGCGUAGGCGGUUUGGUAAGUCUCGUGUGAAAUCUCCGGGCUCAACUCGGAGCCUGCACGAGAAACUGCCGGGCUUGAGUGUGGGAGAGGUGAGUGGAAUUCCUGGUGUAGCGGUGAAAUGCGUAGAUAUCAGGAGGAACACCUGUGGCGAAAGCGGCUCACUGGACCAUAACUGACGCUGAUGCACGAAAGCGUGGGGAGCAAACAGG
rnacentral:rRNA from 1 species